UACGUAGGGACCAAGCGUUGUUCGGAUUUACUGGGCGUAAAGGGCGCGUAGGCGGCGUGUUAAGUCAGCUGUGAAAUCUCCAAGCUUAACUUGGAACGGUCAGCUGAUACUGAUGUGCUAGAGUGCAGAAGGGGCAAUCGGAAUUCUUGGUGUAGCGGUGAAAUGCGUAGAUAUCAAGAGGAACACCUGUGGUGUAGACGGCUUUCUGGACCAUAGCUGACGCUGAGACACGAAAGCGUGGGUAGCAAACAGG
rnacentral:rRNA from 1 species